rfam:HIV-1 isolate 122360 from Argentina pol protein (pol) gene, partial cds.
AUAAGUACAGURUUAGUAGGAGCUACMCCYGUCAAUGUAAUUGGGAGAAAUCUAAUGACUCAGAUUGGYUGYACUUUAAAUUUUCCUAUCAGUCCUAUUGAAACUGUACCAGU